ensembl:lncRNA novel transcript, antisense to FBXW7
GCAUUUCCAUUGCUACACAAUCUGAUGAUGACAAAAUGAUAUUGGAUAUCUACUGCAAGGUCAAGAAAACUGCUAAGAACAUCUUUAAUUGGUCUUUUAUUUUUAAUCAUUUGGUCUUAGUCAUAAUGCAUCCAUUUUCAUUGCAUAUUUUUAUUUGAAAUAAAUCUAUGUAGUUACCUUUGGUUGCCUGGGACAUUCGAUGGAUAAUCUCUGCAACUGGUCUGAUGUAUGGCUACAAGAGAACAAAUCGGAGCAGCAGGUCGAACGGCUCAACCUCUUCAUUAAAGAAGAAAUAAUGCUGCAGCCACAGCCACACAUUGACUUGCUCAUUAGAUGAGAAUUUGACUUAAAAAAUCAGAACUGGUGAUGUCACAUAUAUACUCAAAAUUGUCAAACUGCCUCAUUCUGCAGCUCUCUGGCUGAAAGAAACACUACUAAAAAAGAAUAAAACAACAGCUUUGCUACAGAAGAUGCCAGCCACAAACUCAUCGCCAAGAAAAACUGGAUAUUAAAACAGAAGUCUCCCAGCUACUCUUUAGAAAGAAGUUUAGAUCUGUUUGCCUACUCCUUCAGCUCAGCCUAUCCAACCUGUUCCCUCUGUAAAUGCACACGAUUUCAACAACCAACAGGAAUGAGCUCCACCCCUCCCCGUCUCCACACACACUGUUCAAGAACCGUUUAAUAUCUGGAAAAGAACUGCUGCUGCAUUGCUUUGAGAAACAACAGGGAGCAAAUUACUGGAUGGAUUCUUUAACUUACCAAUCAGAACUGCUGACCUUUUAUGACUCUACAAUUCAAGAAGCCUGCCAAAUACUCACAGUAAGAAUAAUCAACAAAUUUUACUUCUAUACUAUAGAUUAAUUUACAGAAUUGUUUUCAAUCUUAUUAUUCAAUCUACAAUACAAAAAUAUAGGCCUAAGUAUUUUUUAAAUAAACAAAAUGUAGACAGUAGCUAAUACAAAUCUUUGAGGACUGAUGGAAGAGGGUAGGAGGGUAACUGAAUAAAAUAUACAAGCAAAAAUUCCCUCUGGAUACUUUAUGUAGACUUGAGAAGUAAUGAACAAUAAAAAUCUAUAGCAAAAAUACUGGUGCAGAUAAUGAUGUAAUAAACAAGCUGGAUAAUCCAAGGAGGCUCCUGCUAUCAUAAAUGUUAGAAGAGUUUUAAUGAGAAAAAAGGACAUAUGGCUAUAUAGGUAGGUACUGACCACAAGUAAAAAGCCAUCAAAAACCUCAUUGUUUUGAUACUGAAUUUUCUCCCACUUACUUGUCUGCAUUUUAUUUAAAAGAUUAUUUUAAAAACCACAAACCACCCUGAAAACAUAAGCAACAAUAUUAAGUAUGCUAGCUAUACUAUACCUUUUAUACUUAAGCAUUCUACCUUUGCCAAUAAUGCACAAAGGUAUUUGUUUAUACAAUGUAAUUAAUCCACAUUACAAUUUCCAGGACAAGGGAGGGUCGCAUUAAUACAAAUACUUUAUAGUCUUCACAAAUAAUCAUACUUCAAAUUACUGUAACUUAAAUGAACAUUCAUAGACCAAUGAUUGCUAAUGUAAGAGCACCCUUUUUGGGGAAGAUAGUCUAAAACUAAAUAAUAAACACCUUGAAUUAAAAUACGUAUUUUAAAACUUCCCAUUGUCUGUGACACUGAAAGGUUUCUUCUUUGUGUAUGUAACAUGCUCAAUUUCUUCCCUGGUUUAAAGCUAAAAAGAUCCAGCACUGCCUCUGCCUUCACCUUGCACUGCCCUUUUGAUAUUCAUGUUAUACUUAAAUCAAUUUCCAGAAUAUCUAAAAACAGGCAUGCACUUCACAUUCAAUUUUUUAAAAAUCCUUUGGUAGAUAAAGGCUAUGGUAACAAACAAGAAAAAUAAUGCAGUAACCUUUUACUCGCCUGCUGGAGGUACUGUCUGCUGCACAGAAUUUUAAAUCCUCAUCUGCAGAUGCAAUUGAACUGGGUAUUGCCAAGAACUCUGCUUUUCCUGUGCUGCUGCUACACAGCUAUUCAUCGAAAGAGCACAUUAUGUAGAAUCUGAAGUACUAUCAAAUCUGAAGUUUAAGUUUCUUAAAUGAGCAAAAGAACUUCUAAAAUCUAGCUAUACCCCUGCUCUGUCACACUUUCAGAUGCAUGCCAGCCACGUUAGCGAAAAAUGUCCUAGUGCUGCUAUGUACUCCUAGCAAAUGGGUAAGCUAGGGAAGCUAAGAGUAGUAAUGAAAAAAUUAAUACCACAUACUAAUGUAAAAACAAGUACCAGGCAUUAAAACCUGGUAGGAUUUGUGUUGCCAAAAAAUGUAUAACCUGUCCAUAACAAUUUGAUAUUUGUAUUAGUUUUCUAAUUAAAAGCCUAUAAAUAAAUCAUGUGUCUAAUAUUACCAACAAGCAUCAAUUAAAAAUCCCUGCCAUACUGCUAUUAAUGAAAGUUAUCUUACUAGCUAUUCAGUCUGCAUCACUAUUGUUUCUAAAGAAAACUAUGAAAUAAAAGAUUCAAAGGUAUAGAAUACUUGUGAAAUAGCUUGACUUGCAAUGUUCCUUCCUCCUCGUCCCCCACACCAAUAUCCCUUGGAUCUUAUAUUAAUUAUAACUUAGAGUAUAAGCAAUAUGACGUAUUUUCAUUAUUUAUCAUUUUCCUUCCACAUCAGCUAAUUUGAUGUAUAGUAUUGUUGAUUCUUAGGUUGCAGAUAGAUGGAGCUGGAAGGCAAACCAACAAAGAUAAGGUUUAAAAAUUAGAAGAAAAAGAAGCAUAAUAUUGUUUAUGAAAAAGUUUAUAAUUAACUUUGUCUAGGUACAGAUACGUUUUCAAAGAGGAAAGAACAUUAAUACUUGCUCACUAACAACAAUUAAGGAUCUUGAGUAUUUCUUCAAUUAACUAAUGCAUUUUAAAGUUGCUUUCCCCUUUAAUUGCAAGUAACUGUCAAAACUUGUUUUAAAAAUAUUUAACAAUCCAUUUCUAUCAAAUGAUUUUCAUUUCCUUAAGAUACAAGGUGAUCACUUCUCUUAAAUGGUAGUCUAAAAGAUGUGAAAUCUACAAACACAACCCUGAACAAGAGACAUCCUUCCUCAAUGCUCAAAUUUAUUUGCAUAAAUAAGCAUAAGCUAAUUUUUAUAGUUCCCCUAAAGGUAAAAAUGUAUCAAAUAAGAAUCCGGCUCCCAGAACUCUGGGAUGCUGAGUUGGGUGCAAGUAGACUGCUUGAGCCCAGGAGUAUGAGAGCAGCCUGGGCAACAUGGUAAACCCUGUCUCCACAAAACAUACAAAAAUUACUGAGGCAUGGUGGCACUUGCCUGUAGUCCCACCUACUUCCUACUUGGGAAGCUAAAGUGGGAAGAUCACUUGAGCCCAGGAGGUGGAGGCUGCAGUGAGCUGUGACCGCACUCCAGCUUGGACGACAGAGCAAGACCCUGUCUCAAAAAAAAAAAAGAAAAAAAAAGUAUCAAAUAAAAACUUAGCCAAUUGACACUAUAUUUUAAAAAUUAUUGUUUCAUUUAAAAACACCAUUUGUCACACAUAGCCUCUGAGAGAUGACUCCAGCAAUUUUCAAAAUAUGAACCCUGGGAGUUCCUGAGACACUUACAUGGAGUUUCUAAGAUCAAAAUUAUUUCUAUAAUACUAAGAUGUUACUUAUGUUUUUUACUCUGUCUCUUGAGUAUACACAAAGUAAAGUUUUUGUCAGAGUAUAGAGCAUGUAAUAUCCUAACAAACUGAAUGCAAAAGCAGAUAUGAGCAUCCAACUGUCUUCCUGUAAGCCAGACUUUGUUAAUUGUGUAAACAUGUAAUUAGCUGUUAUUUUUAAAUAAAUUUAAUAAAUGAAA